rnacentral:tRNA from 1 species
ACUUAAAUAGUUUAAUUAAAAUAUUGAUUUGUGGAGUCAAAGAUAUAAUUUUUAUUUUAGGUC